rnacentral:siRNA from 1 species
UGUAAUUGGUUGCUGAGUC